rnacentral:rRNA from 1 species
GCCCCGGCUAAUUACGUGCCAGCAGCCGCGGUAAUACGUAAGGGGCGAGCGUUGUCCGGAAUUAUUGGGCGUAAAGAGUGCGUAGGCGGCAAAUUAAGUCAGAUGUGAAAACUGUGGGCUCAACCCGUAGAUUGCAUCUGAAACUGAUAUGCUUGAGUCAGGGAGAGGAAAGUGGAAUUCCUAGUGUAGCGGUGGAAUGCGUAGAUAUUAGGAGGAAUACCGGUGGCGAAGGCGACUUUCUGGACUUGUACUGACGCUGAGGCACGAAAGCGUGGGGAGCAAACAGGAUUAGAUACCCUGGUAGUCCACGCCGUAAACGAUGAGUGCUAGGUGUCUGCAGUUAAAUGUAGGUGCCGUACGUUAACACAAUAAGCACUCCGCCUGGGGAGUACGUACGCA